rnacentral:rRNA from 1 species
AUCGAACGCUGGCGGCAGGCCUAACACAUGCAAGUCGAACGAGUGGCGGACGGGUGAGUAAUGACUGGGCCACCGCCCGGUGGAGGGGGAUAACUACUGGAAACGGUAGCUAAUACCGCAUACCAUCGGAUGGGCCCCGAUGGGCUUAGCUAGUAGGUGGGGUAACGGCUCACCUAGGCGACGAUCCCUAGCUGGUCUGAGCGGAUGACCGUCCACUCUGGAGCGUGACCACGGUCCAGACGCCUGCGAGAGGCAGCAGUGGGGAAUAUUGCACAGUGGGCGCAAGCCUGGUGCAGCCAUGCCGCGUGUAUGGAGAAGGCGUUCGGGUUGUAAAGUACUUUCAGCGGGUGGGCGUUAGCCGCAGAAGAAGCACCGGCUAACUCCGUGCCAGCAGCCGCGGUAAUAC